UACGUAGGCAGCAAGCGUUGUUCGGAAUUACUGGGCGUAAAGAGUGUGUAGGCGGUGUUCUAAGUUUGGUGUGGAAAUCUCCCGGCUCAACUGGGAGGUGCGCCGAAACUGGAAUGCUAGAGUAUGGGAGAGGUAAGCGGAAUUCCUGGUGUAGCGGUGAAAUGCGUAGAUAUCAGGAGGAACACCUGUGGUGUAGACAGCUUACUGGACCAUCACUGACGCUGAGACACGAAAGCGUGGGGAGCAAACAGG
rnacentral:rRNA from 1 species